GCCGCCGACUUGGCGAAUCCCGCGGCGGGGACCCGGGAGGGCUGCGAGCUCGGCCUGGCAAAGUUCCUGUGGAAACUCCAUGUUUAGAAACUCGAGCGGCGGGGCGGGAGGAGGGGAGCGCGCGGCGCGGGGGCGGCCGGCACCCGCCUUCCACGCCCGGGAGGGUCGGCCCCCCAGCCCGUGGGCAGUCUGGAGGGGGGCGAGGGGGGCGAGGAGGGCCGGUCCCCGGGCCCGUUCCUUUGUGCCUGCCCCACUCUUUCCUCCACACUCGAAAGGAAAUUUCUAAACCCCUUUCAUUUAUUGAAUUCAGCAAGAGAGGAAGGCUGCCUUUUUAGGGACCCUGAUAUUGAGGGUAAUUUCGUAUUUGACACAUGUAAAUACUUAGUACUCUCAGGUAAGGUCAAAUUAUUUAUCAUCUUAAUUUAUAUUUCAAUAGGCCUACAAUUUAGAGGCGCGAAAUGCCUCCUUAUGAAUCAUUAUGGUCUAUUAGGAGAAGUAAUGUAUAAACAGCACUAUUUGGGAGGGAAUCACUUAUGUUGACAUUUAAAUGGCUCUUCAAUAGUUAAAAAAAAAAGACAUUCAAGUGCCUUUGAUUAAAUAUACAAUUUACAAGACCAUCAGCAAAGCCAUCAGGAAUAUAAAUUCUUCCUGGGAUUUUUAUUUAUUUAUUUCCGAUUUUUUUUAAGCCUUCCAGGGCAUGUCAUUUAAUCCCUAUGGGAAAAUCUACACAUUUCAAGCAAAAUAUCAUCCUCCUCUCCCUCGGUUAACGUCUUCUCAGGAACCCAGGGAAGUGCUGAUUAUGUGAGCAAGCACCCCAGUGGGAAGUUUGUAGAUCUUUGUACCUGGGUAACAGAAUCAAGACUUUCUAACGAUAUUGCAACUGAUUUGUGAAACAUGGUAGCUUCCCUGCUCGAGUGGAACCUUCCUGAAGGCCUUUGUCCAUCCAUCCUGGUGUUCCCACAGCACUCAGCACAGGGCCUCCUCUGGUAAUUUUGUCAUCCUCCUACACCUGCUACAAUAUCCCUGCAGAAGCUCUUCCUGGCUGCCCCCUCCCCCAACUCAUGUACUCUUUAUUGAAUUACCCUGUCGUAUUCAUUCCCUCGAAGCAUCUCCCAUCUUCAGAAUGCCCUUCCUUGACCCCACAUCUCCUUCCUCGGCUCCCUAUUUAUCUGUUCCCCUGCACAGCUGUACUUCUCAAAGGAGCUGUCUACAUCCAUGGAGCAUUUCCAUUUUCUUACCUUGUGUACACUCUAAAAAUCAGCUAGGUUUGAAGUUAUUCUAUGAUUUGGGGAUAAAUGCAGCUUUGUUUGUAACAGCAUAACGUUAGAAACAAGCUAAACAUCCAGCAAUGACAUUGAUGUUGCAUGCGUGCAAUGAAAUAUUCUGUAGCUAUUUUAAAAAUAAAGAUCUGCUCUGUCUGUGUACUGAUAUGGAAUGACCCCUAAGGUCUGUUGUUAAGCGGAAAACAUAGGUGCAGAGGAAACGGAUGUAUAUAGUAUAUUACGAUUUGGGUAUGUUACAGUUUAUGUAAAAACAAAGUAGGGGAGAAUGUAGACACAUAUUUGUAGGUGCGGUAAACAUCCUGAACACUCCUGGGGAGCACCCCCUACCACCACUUUUCUUUGUACAUCUGCAUGCCCUCCAGUUUCAUUUUCAGAAACGGGAACACUGCACAAGCUAUUCUGUAUCUCACCUAUGAAACUUAUCGAUACAUCUUGCAGGUCAUUUUCUAUCAGCACUUGGAGAUGGGCCUUGUCUGUGUCAAGGUUCAUGGAAUUUCACUGUCUAGAUACAACGUUUAUCACACUCUUCACCCCACACCUCCAUCCUCCCUGGCCAUUCUGCAGAAAGAACUCAAGAUCACCAGUCAUUUCCCUGUUGCCAGGAGUGGGGGUGGGGGGGGGGUCUCAGUCCUUCCUUGGCCUUGGAAGCACUCAACGCCCCGGACCACUCCCCCCUUAAACUGCUCUUGGCUUCCCAGAUGCGGCACACACACGGUUUUCAUCCUACCUGAGUCUCUUUCUGGACUCUUCUCUGUGCUCUACUGGUUGCUUGGGCCUGAAUCCUCCCCUUUUCGCCCCAGUCUCAUCCAGGCCGAUGGCUUUAAAUACCACCUACUUGCUGAUGACUCCUAAAUUUUUUCCCCAGUUCCAGACCCCCAUAUCAAACUGCAGACCUGACCUCUGCGCUUGGCAGUCUCUGUCCAGCUUAGUCAUGCCAACAGCUAACAUUUGCAUAGUGCCGGCAGCACUCUUCUAAGCACUUGCUCUAAAUUAACUGUGAAUCCUUACGACUACCCUAUAAGGUAGGUAGAAUUAUUAUCCACAUUUUACAGAUGAGGAAACUGAGGCAGAAAGGUGACAGAACAUUCCCAAUGUCACUCGGAAAAUGGUGGCACUAGGAUUCAAACGCAGGCAGUCCUGUCUCCAGAGUUCAUGUUCUUAGCCACUCUGCUUCACUGCCUCUAGCAUGCCUAAAAGUGAAUUCUCUUAAAAAAAAUUAAUGAAUCUACAAAUAUUUUGGGGUAUUAACUAGAUGCCAGGCUCUGUGGUGGGUGCUGGGGAAACAGCAGUAAGCUGGACAAACUGUCCCUUAGAAAGGGACAAGCUCUUCCCUUGCCACCUGCCCUUUGUCCCAACUCCCUUCCCUAUCACAGAAAAUGUCUCAGCCACUCAAGCGCUUAAAGCAGAAUCCUGGACAGGUCAUUCUUGGCCUGUCUCUUUCAUCUCCCACCUUACCUUCCUCUGGUUCACUGCAAGGCUAAAAUAACAUUCUACUUCCAAGUGUUCUAGCAAAUAAGCCCACUUCUUCCCGUUGUCCCACAUCCACCUUAGGCCAGGCCACCAUCUUCUCUUGCCUGGAUUAGCAUACAGAAUUAUUAUUCCAGCUGGUCUCUGUGCUGCCACUGUCACCUCCCUCCAACCCAUCCUCCACAUGGCAGCUAGAAGGGUCUUUUGAAAACAUGUCACAUGUCACUACCCCACUAGUUCCCACUGCACUUGGAACAAAACCCAAACUCCUUAACAAGGCUUACAAUCCCUGCCACGUCGUAGCUUGCCACUGUCUAUCUCACCCUCUGAGGACCAGCACACAGGCCUGUUGUCAGCUCCUUAAUAGGCUCUGAGUGUUUCUCCCUGGGCUGUCAUCUCUCCAACAAGACUGUACACUCUGUAAGGACAGAGCGCAUCAUCACCAUCUACUAAGUUUGCAUCGAUGUCCAGCAAUGAGCACAUAUAAACAUAAUGUUCUCAUAAUGUUGUUCGCAGCUGCAUCUCAUGGUGCCUAGCAUGGUACCUGGCCUGUAUAGAUGCUAAAAAAAAAUUUGAUAAACAAUCAGCGAAUGACAGAAUGCUUAAUACCUUUUUGCUAACUGAUUCUAUAUCCUAUAUCAUGGCCAGAGAAGAAACCAAGUUCAAGAAAGCAAGACAACUGUAGGCGUGUGCUUCUGGAAAAGGGGAUGCUGGGCGGGCAGGGAGUGGCUCUGUCGUUCUGGUGAGGAUUGAGGCAGAAGAAAUUUGGAAAGUGAAGCAUGAAGCCGGAGGUGCCACUAUGGUCUGGGGAGGUCCAGGGGAGGCCCAUGGGAGUGUGGGGUGCGUGGCUACAGGUCCGUGUCAGAGGAGCCGAGGUUUCUGGGUGUGCACAAUUGUGCGGAGGCCUUGGACGUCCUAUCCUUGCUAAGUGCUGCAGAAUGUCAUCCCCGGGAGAUGAGAGAGGGACAUCCUAGCCGAGAGCAAGACAGAGCCCAAACCAGAACUCCUUAGAGUCCUUUGCCUCUUGCCAACCAUUUGGUGGCAAAAGAUGGAAGCUGUUUUGCUUCUUGAGACCCUCAGAAACCAGAAGAGUGGGUUCUGGUUACACUUGAUCUUGGGCAGUUGGAGUUCUCUCAAUUCUAUGCCCUUUGACUUCUAACAGUAACUGUGCCGCUACAAUGCAUUUGAUAGCAAAGCAAGUGAGGAAGACAAAUCCCUACAUGAUAAAAAUAGCUACUGUUUAUUAAGGACCUUCACUCUUUUCAGUUACUGUAUUAGGUACAUUUCCAAGUUACCUCACGUAAGCCCCAAAAUAACCCUAUGGGUUAAGUAUCACGAUUCACAUUUUAUAGUUAAGGAAACUAAAGCUCUUACAAUUGCCCCCAAAAUACAUAGCUAAUCCAGCCACGGGGCUUCUACCUGACCCCAAACCUGGGCGCUUUCCAGUAGAGUCUAUUGCUUGCCUCCCACACGCAUGCACUGUUCCCUCACACCUUAAACUAUUUCUGGGAUUCGAUCCUACACAGCUCUCCAAUCGUGUCCUUCUGGGGUCGUCCUGGCAACUCACCAACUGCAGUAAAUAUCGCGAAAGGAGUUUGUCUCUUUCUGGGAUCAGCAGGUCUCAGCUGAUCCGUUACGUUCACCAUGGGAAUCUAAGAAUUUAUCAUCUGAGUGAAGAGUUGCCUUCCUCCCAGUAAUGAUUUAAGGCUGCUUCCAAAGAUACACAAAACCCAGCAAAGAUAAAUAGAAGUGGGACAUGAGUUAUAAUGUCAUGCCUGCUCACACACCUUUGCCCCAGUCCACAUAGGAGGACUGAAUUUAUAACGCCUUUCAAAAAUGAGGGCUUCUCCAAGUUUUUCUCGAAGGAUUCCACCGGCCAGACAGGGCUCUGGAAGCUCAGCCCUCAAGACUUGCCGCACGUGGGAGGCUGCUGGGAGACCGUUUUGAAAAUGCAAGCACACACAGCAACAAGGACGCAUCCCACAAAUGAAACGUUCCGCAAAAGAAGUCUGCCUCAAACGACUGUGCACAAUAGUGUUCCAUUUACAUCAAGUUUUAAAGGGGGCCAAGCCAAUCGAAGGUGUCAGAAGCCAGUGUAGGGGCUACGUGGAGGAAGGGGGACAAUGGAGAGGGGCAUACCCCUUGGGAGGGGGCGCAAGGGGGACUUCUGGGGGGCUGGGCAUACUCUGCACCUUGAUUUGGAUGCUGGCUACACGGGUGUGCUCAGCUUGUAAAAAUUCAUCAAGCUGUACAUUUAGGAUUUAUACACCUUUCUGUCUGCGUGCUGCACGUCGAUAAAAUGUUAACAAAAUAAAAAAUACAAUAAAUUAAAAAAUACAUAAACAGACUGGGGAAGAGUAAGGCUUAUAGCCGCUCUCGAGCUCUGGACAGGAGACCUGGCUGCAGGAGACGGGGCCACUCGGGGCGCGAGGGGAGGGCAGUGAGGUUGUUCUAGAGACAGCCAGGAAGCACAGUUUAAAACCACGUGAACAGAAGCAAACUUUCUGCUCCAUAAGAGAGUGACGCGCGGGGCACAUGCGCCAUCUUCACCCUGAGGGUUCACAGUGCCGCUUCGCAGCCGCCCUGCCCACAGCCCAGGACUCCCGAGGGAGAGGGGAAGGUAGGCAGCAUCAGCAGAUAGCCAGGCUCCCCAUCCUGUCUUCCCUCUCUCUUCCUCUCCUCUGCAGGAACUUCCUUCCACUCCAGCCAAAGUGGACUGUUGGCCAUCCCUGACACAGGCCCAGCCUUUCUCCAAUUGUGCGUGCACGUUCCCCUCCAGGAACUCCUUUCACCCUUCCUUCCUCUAGCCGUGCUUCUUCUCCCUGGUCCCCCCAUCCAGCUGGUCAUAACAUGCAGUUCUGCAGAAAAUGCAGUUCGGGAACCUGGAAGUCGCCUUUGACCUCUCUGACGGCCUAACCCCUCCCCAAAUCCUCUAUGCAGCUCUAGGAAUCACACAUCCCCUCUGUAUCCAGCGCCUGCCCAGCACAAGCUCUUGCCUAAGCCAUGGCAACGACCUCCUAACCGGUCCCCUUCAUCUACUCCUGCCCCUCUGCAGUCCAUUUCCCACACAGCAGCCAACGCAACAACCGCCCCCCAGGAUACCAACCGCUACCGGGUGCCAGGUGCACUUCCAGGCCCUCAGCCUGCCCUGGGGAACAGAUCGGAUGCCUGCCUUCAAGGUGCUUAUAUUCCAGCAGGAGAGAGAUGGAUGAUAAACAAUAAAGGUGACAGAGCAUAAAAUUACCUUGGGUGGUAG